rnacentral:rRNA from 1 species
GGUAGAUAGGUUCGAGGUGGAAGUGUGGUGACACAUGGAGCUGACGAAUACUAAUCGAUCGAGGACUUAACCAA